CAUAGGUUUGGUCCCAGCCUUCCUGUUGACUCUUAAUAAACUUACACAUGCAAGCAUCUACACCCCAGUGAGAAUGCCCUCUAGGUUGUUAAAACUAAGAGGAGCUGGCAUCAAGCACACACCCCGUAGCUCACGACGCCUUGCUUAACCACACCCCCACGGGAAACAGCAGUGACAAAAAUUAAGCCAUAAACGAAAGUUUGACUAAGUUAUAUUAAUCAGGGUUGGUAAAUCUCGUGCCAGCCACCGCGGUCAUACGAUUAACCCAAGCCAACAGGAAUACGGCGUAAAACGUGUUAAAGCACCACAUCAAAUAGGGUUAAAUUUUAAUUAAGCUGUAAAAAGCCAUGAUUAAAAUAAAAAUAAAUGACGAAAGUAACCCUACAACAGCCGAUGCACUAUAGCUAAGACCCAAACUGGGAUUAGAUACCCCAUUAUGCUUAGCCCUAAACACAGAUAAUUACAUAAACAAAAUUA
rnacentral:rRNA from 1 species